rnacentral:rRNA from 1 species
ACAGUGGGGAAUUUUGGACAAUGGGGGAAAGCCUGAUCCAGCCAUACCGCGUGAGUGAAGAAGGCCUUCGGGUUGUAAAGCUCUUUCAGCUGGGAAGAAACGGUUGUGGUUAAUAUUCGCAACUAAUGACGGUACCAGCAGAAGAAGCACCGGCUAACUACGUGCCAGCAGCCGCGGUAAUACGUAGGGUGCGAGCGUUAAUCGGAAUUACUGGGCGUAAAGCGUGCGCAGGCGGUUUUAUAAGCCAGAUGUGAAAUCCCCGGGCUCAACCUGGGAACUGCAUUUGGAACUGUAAGACUAGAGUAUAGCAGAGGGAGGUAGAAUUCCACGUGUAGCAGUGAAAUGCGUAGAUAUGUGGAGGAAUACCAAUGGCGAAGGCAGCCUCCUGGGUUAAUACUGACGCUCAUGCACGAAAGCGUGGGAGCAAACAGGAUUAGAUACCCUGGUAGUCCACGCCCUAAACGAUGUCAACUAGUGUUGGAAGGGAACUUUUUAUAACGUAGCAAACGC